rnacentral:lncRNA from 1 species
GCGGGUCCGCAGCCCUGGCUGUUUUGCAAAAAUUAGGUCACCCGAACACUCCCCUCCACGCACCACCACCGGCAGUAUGUGAAGAUCGACCUCGUUGAAGUCCAACAUAUGUAUUUCUGGUCAUCACAAAGUGCCGAAAGCACUAUAUGGAUUUCGUUGAGAAAAUCAGAGUGAAAUGUAAUAUUGAUGAAACAAUUUUGUUACGAAUAUCCGUGUUUUCACCUGACUCGAUGAGGUUCGUAUUAUUUGUAUCGUGUAUCCUGAAAGGGCGAGCCCCGCCGAUAAUUCCGUGUGUGUUCGUAACCUGUCCAGAAAUAGAGAUUACAUGGCGAUUUUUCCGACAGCGAUUUAUCGAUAUAUUGGCACGCAAGCUAGCCGAUAAUAAAGAGUAAAUAAGAACUAAAAUAGACUGUGUAUGCUCUCGCUAUUGCAGGAAGGACUUCGUAAGGGAAACGAGGUGAGCGCGAAGGGCCGAUCAAAUACAACGAACGAGGAUGCAAUAACGUACAAAAUAACCUCUGUCUAAUGAUAUAGCUUAAUAAGCGAUUAUUGAUCGUUAUCGGUUAAUAUUGAUGGAAAUACUGUGCCGCGGUCUUUUCUUGAGUAACGAGACCGCAAUAUUCGUUUCGCGGAUUCGGCAAAUUGCACAGUCGCAAAAUGUAAUUGAUAAUUUGCACACAUUAACAACGGAAACUUGAUUGCAGCCAUUCAGGCACAACGACGGAUCUAUACAGCGUGUAAAUAUCAUCGAAUGUUGAAUCUCUGGUAAUUCAAGCUGAUGUAUGUAAUUGCCGAAAUGUAACACAGGCCAUUAGAGCUAUUCGGAUAAAAUGUACAACGCGGUAUAAACCUAUGUUGAAACGUAACAAGUUGGCGUACACGUGCACCCGGGAAUGUUUAUGCAUAAUGCAUACGGUGGACAAGUCGUCGAGGUGAUUCAAGAUGUCUCGCACCCGCACACAAAAGCAUUCUCUCACCCCCUACGGGCUGAAAUUCUUUCUCUCCCGCGGAAAUUCGUUUUCUGCCGGAACGCGAUGCGCCAGAUAUUCCCAUUCUCGCGGUACAUACAACACCACGCGCCAAUAUCACCUUUUCGCCCGCGAAAGUAUCAAGCCAUCCCUUGUUACCGAAUUUACUUUGCAAUAUGACAGAGAGAUCGAUACUCGCUCGACGAUAUCGCGUUCCGCAUCCGCACGACUUUUCUGUUAUAGCAUUCAAGUGUAACAGAAUAUUACAUCCUACAUUACCAGUUACAAGUAUGUAUCGACUUGUAUUUUCAACAAAAAUCGUUCACUUUUUAAAUUUAACAUUAUAUUUUUCAAAAGUAACUACUUCAACUGCUGAGUUUAUAAGAUUAUCGUUAAUGUACUUUUGUUAAAUGUAUACUUCUCCUUUUGUAUUUUAAUAAAAUUUAUAAUAGACAUGUGCACAAACAGACAGAUUUAUUAAGCUGAGCUUACUUAAUCCAGACUGCUAGUGCAAACGGAUUAUAAAGAUUUCUUUGAGUGUUCUUAUUUAACAAGAUGUGUAAAAAAUAUGUCUCUAAGAAUUUAUCAUACUUGUCUAACUAAGCGCUAAAUUGUAUAUUAGUAAAUUACUUACAUCGUUUUAUAUGAUAUAGAUCAAUAAAAAUAACUUUAAACUGAAUGUUUAUAUCUUCAAAAUGUAUAACAAACUAUAAAUAUACUAAGCAUGGAAAAUUCG